GACGAACGCUGGCGGCGUGCCUAAUACAUGCAAGUCGAACGAGUGGCGGACGGGUGAGUAACACGUGGGAACCUACCCAUCAGAGGGGGAUAACUACUGGAAACGGUGGCUAAUACCGCAUACUAUCGGAUGAACCCAUAUGGGAUUAGCUAUUAGGCGGGGUAAAGGCUCACCUAGGCGACGAUCUCUAGCUGGUCUGAGAGGAGGAUCAGCCACACUGGUACGGAGACACGGCCCAUACUCCUACGGGAGGCAGGAGUGGGGAAUAUUGGACAAUGGGCGCAAGCCUGAUGCAGCCAUGCCGCGUGUAUGAAGAAGGCCUUAGGGUUGUAAAGUACUUUCAGCGGGGAGGCGUUACCCGCAGAAGAAGCACCGGCUAACUCCGUGCCAGCAGCCGCGGUAAUAC
rnacentral:rRNA from 1 species